rnacentral:rRNA from 1 species
AGUGAACGCUGGCGGUAGGCCUAACACAUGCAAGUCGAACGGCAGCACAGUAAGAGCUUGCUCUUACGGGUGGCGAGUGGCGGACGGGUGAGGAAUACAUCGGAAUCUACUUUUUCGUGGGGGAUAACGUAGGGAAACUUACGCUAAUACCGCAUACGACCUACGGGUGAAAGCAGGGGAUCUUCGGACCUUGCGCGAUUGAAUGAGCCGAUGUCGGAUUAGCUAGUUGGCGGGGUAAAGGCCCACCAAGGCGACGAUCCGUAGCUGGUCUGAGAGGAUGAUCAGCCACACUGGAACUGAGACACGGUCCAGACUCCUACGGGAGGCAGCAGUGGGGAAUAUUGGACAAUGGGCGCAAGCCUGAUUCAGCCAUACCGCGUGGGUGAAGAAGGCCUUCGGGCUGUAAAGCCCUUUUGUUGGGAAAGAAAAGCAGCAGGUUAAUACCCCGCUGUUCUGACGGUACCCAAAGAAUAAGCACCGGCUAACUUCGUG